rnacentral:rRNA from 1 species
UACGAAGGGGGCUAGCGUUGCUCGGAAUCACUGGGCGUAAAGCGCACGUAGGCGGAUUGUUAAGUCAGGGGUGAAAUCCUGGAGCUCAACUCCAGAACUGCCUUUGAUACUGGCGAUCUCGAGUCCGGGGAGAGGUGAGUGGAACUGCGAGUGUAGAGGUGAAAAUUCGUAGAUAUUCGCAAGAACACCAGUGGCGAAGGCGGCUCACUGGCCCGGUACUGACGCUGAGGUGCGAAAAGCGUGGGGAGCAA